rnacentral:lncRNA from 1 species
AAACCAAUUUGGACAGUGCUAAGAGUUCCGAUGGGAUUUGGCCAGAGAAUCCAGAAAAAGAAAGAUCGAGACUCCUAAGCCUUGAAAGCUGACCAACACCAAAUGGGAUCUCAGAGUAAUUGAAAUCAUUAUCAGAGAGGUCAAGCCUCUGGAGAUGAACAAGACUGAAGAGGGUGCUGCUGGAGUUGAUAGAACCAUAGAGACAACUGCUGGCAAGGUGAAGGCCGAUCACAUGACCAGUCUCCCUAUCACACUCAACACCAUCCCAAGAGCAGCAAUCGCUUCCUUCUCUUUCUCCUUCUCCAUGGGAUUUCCACAUUGCAACUUUUGGAUAAGCAGAAGGAUUACCAGAGGCAUGCUCAUCAAUCAAAAAGCUUUGCUUGAACUGAAGUAAGGCAGAGCCCUCACUAUCAUGGCAAAGUGGUCGAUGCAUGGAUGAGGAAGAGUUAGUAACCAUUAGAUAAAAAGAUGAGAGGAAAAGGAGAAAGCGCACAAACAUGAAGACAUACAAAGCUGAGCCCAUAUUUUCUGUGGAUGAUAAGAAUCAAAUGGGAGUGAUGAGGGUUCACAGGCAGGAUCCAUACUCUUAUAUAGUAAUGAUGACUAAUGUGCAUUGACAGCAACCCAGUAGGCCAGUCUGCCCAUAAAUUUUAAACUGUUUCAGAACAUGCCCCUCCUUGAGUUCCUGUUACUAAUAAAAAUCUCACUCACAAGUCAAGUUGUCUCCCUAGGCUUAGGGGUGCCAUUAAGUUAAAUCUCUAUUUAUUAUAUGACUUGCAUUGACUUAAGCUGAUGAACCGCCUCUCUCUUCGAUUGGUGACUUGAUAAAAGCUCUGGUGGAGCCCAAAUUCCACAAGGGAUGAGGCCGGAAUAAAGCUAGUUAACCACAACAAUAGUAAAACAGCCUCUAGGGACAUGUACUGCUGCUUAACUUCCCAUUAAAUAGCUUAACUCAAAUGCAAGGCAACUGUCAUUUUGCCUUUUUCCUUUUUCCAUAUGAAUAAGUGGAAGAAUCUAAUACAUGCAAGCUAGUGAUAAUACUUCUAACCAUAUAAAUUACCGAGUUUAUGCUAAUGCACCCAACUUGAUAAAAGGAAGAAAGAAUAAUAAAAGUGAUGAGACUAACACCUUCAGUUUGCAGCAUUAUUGUUUAACUACUCUAAUGUUGCAAGGUCUAUAAUAUUGAAAAAAGAAGGGCCCAUAUGGUAUGAUUUAGAAUUUUUCAACCCAUUUCAGAGAUUAGGUUCCCUGAAAAUCAUGAAAGCGUGUCCUUAUCACAUUUUGUAGUUUUUGUUCUAGGCCUAGAAAUCUUCAAGAAAAUAUGACAAAUGGGGUUGUUUUAAAUGCAGUUGAGGUUGAAGGGUGAGUGAGAUUGAUUUGGUCUAUCUCUUUAUUUUUAGCCUUGCUUGGAGGGUUUCUAUUGAUCUCUUCUUUCUUUUACUUUUCAUGGCCUGCCUUUUUAGGUGAAGAAUAAAGUAGACCAAUUAAAGCUGCAUUGAGGCCCAGUUUUCUAGCUACCACAAUGUCCUUUUUUAUAUUGUGGUUUUUUCCAAGCCCAAGUCAGUCAAGAGAAAGACAACCCCACUUAAGGGUUCUUACUAAUCUAACCUUUAAUGCAUGACUCUACAUGUAACAUUCUUACUUUUAAUUAGUUUGUAAAGAAAAAUAUUAUAUUUCAAUAUUAAAUAUUUAUGUAAGAUAAAAAUAAAUAUUACAUCCCAAUAGUUUAUAAUUUAGAAAAAAAAAUAUUUAUACUUUAGUAAGUAAUUUAUAUUUUUAAUAAUAUUUGUGAUUAAAAUAUUUAAAAUUUAUAAAUAAAAAAUAUUAGAUAGCGUUAUUAAGUAUAUAAUAAUUGUAUAUAUUAGUGUUAUUUUAUGAUAUAUAUUAUAUGUUUUUUUAGUUUUUUUAACUACAAAAUAAUUUGUUUAAUCAUUUUUUUUAAAUGGUAAUAUAAAAUAAAUUUGUGAUCCAAGCACAUAUCUUAUAUCUCAACUUAGCUAUAUAAAAAAUAUGUUGAGUAAUAUAUUUCAUCAUUUAUCAUAUCAUAUCUUUGAUUAAACAUAAAAUAUAAUAAGUGAUAUGAUAAAUUGUCUUAUUCCCUAUCAAAACCAAAUAUAAUAAAACUUGUUUCUUAGAGAAUAUUGACUUAUUAAAGAGCUUUGACUCACCUCCACUAUAGAGUUUUUCUUUUAUAGAUCCCUUAUUUUCGAGGUUUUGCAAUAAUUAACAUCUAUUUAAAACUUAGAAAACAUGUUUUGUGAAAUUAUUUUAUUUCUCCUUACCUAUGCUGCUCAGUGUAUAUAUUCAGACUAUUCUUCCAAGUAAUUACUAUAAUUGUCCCUCUCUUCUUUCAUAGUUUUAGUCCAACUUGAUGGUAUCCCUCCUUUAUAGAAAUUGUGAGUGAGAGACCCGCAAAAGACUUUGGCAAAUAACGUAUGUUUUGUAUCCUUGUCUUAGAGCAGAGAUGUGAAUAAGUCCAUGUGCAACCUGAGUCUGGUUACUUUGUCUCCUAUCCUCUUUGUUCUUUAGCAUAUAUAUAUAUAUAUAUAUAUAUAUAUAUAUAUAUAUAUAUAUAUAUAUAUAUAUAGCUUCCUUUGGAUCUUUCUGUGACUCUCACUUCCCAAACAAAGCGAACAAGUCAACAAAAUUAAUAAUCAAUGUUGUUGUCAACUGUCAAGCCUAACUGCCAAAACAUGAAGAUCCAAAAGCCAUCAUUAAUAAUUAACAAAUGAAGGAAAUAAAAAUGUUGAUGGGUUGGAAUUCAAAUCCCAUACCCUACAUUUGAGUCAAGCUCACGUUUUUCAAAGCUUAGGUGGCAACACAUGAGGAGACCGGCCAAAGACUUCUUCAAAUGGACAGAAGAACCGUGUUUGAAGGUCUAAUGGGGAAAGAGAAAAUCCUGUUUGGAAUCAUUAAUUUAUUCAACAGUUAAUCCAUGAUAUGUCAUGGAUGCUCUCAAGCAUAAUUAUUAUCUUCAAACAUAAGACAUUCAACUGCGUACCAUGUGGAUUCUUCUUCCCUUCGGAUAUGUACCAAACACCAUUAUAGACCUUUAAGUGCCAAUUUUCAACACACGCGGAAGACUUUUGCAGGAGAGCAAAGCAACCACGUUCACAUCCUUGGACAAAUAGAAGAUUCGUCUUUUUGAUAACUUGAAAAUAUUAUAUAUUGUAGCUCACUAAAUUGAUUUGUUACAUGCUCCCAAAUUUUCAGAGUUAGGUGCUUAGAGUCUAAAGCUUCUUUAAUUAUUUCAAAUGAAAGACUUGAAACACCAUAGUACAUCCAACAUAUCAGUCUGCCAUGCUUAAUUUCUUUGGAAUAUGUAUAUUUGUUGUACUCAAAAAAUAGUUUAAAAAUAAAAUAAAAUAAAAUAUUUUGACAAUCAAAAAGUACUUCAAAGGAACUGAAAAGUUAUGUGCAUCUAAGGUUAAAUAUAUAUAUAUAUAUAAAGCAAAGCUUGUGACAUUUGCAUUAACACAAGGCUUAACGUAACUGAAGCAUGGAAUGAAUAUUUAGCACCUUGAACAAGAUCUAGGGAUUUCUACAUUAAUGUAACUAUUGAGUAAGCAUGAUGAUCAUUAGAAGCAUACUCUAUCAAUCAAAAGCCUCUACUUGAACCGAAGCAAGGCAUAAAUGUCACGAUCAUGGCACAAUGGUUGCCGCAUAGAAGAAGAAGAGUUAGCCACCAUUAGAGGAAAAGAUGAGAGUAAAACAUGAAGCAGAUCAACAUGAAGGCUUUCUUUAGUAAUGGCUAAAAUUCAUUUUAGAAUGAAGAAACAUAAAGAAAUCUCAAAUUUGCUUACUUAAUUUGCCAUAAAAAUAUAACAAAAAUCCAUGUGGAACCAUGACUUAUUAUAGACUAGUACUUUGGGUUUGUUAUUUUCUACUACUAAUUUGGCAUAUUUGUUUGCUAAAAAAAUUAUAAUAGUGUAGUUAUGUGCAUGAGAGAAAUAACAUAGUCAAUUUGGACCAAUUUUAGCUUUUGAACCAUUUAAUAUAUGAGUUUCAAAUUAUUUUGAAUGACUAGACUUAUUUAUGAAUCUAAUGGAUUAAGUUUUGCUUAAUUUAGAGUUUAUUUGCCUAAUAAAAUUUUAAAAAUUUACAUUCAUAUGUAAAGAAUAAACUAGCAAAAGCAUUUAAGAUGAGUUUUGAUUUAUGAUUUUUAAAUGUUAAUUGAAUCAGUUUUAAGUUUCAUGAUUUGUUGGUAUUAAUUAGAUCAAUUGUUAAGCUUCAAGUUAAUUAUUUUUAACAAUUAGUCAAUUUCAUGAAUCAAAUCUCCUUUGAUUUGAGAUCAUUUUUGUUUUUUUAAAUAAAAAACUAUUUUUUUUAAAAUGAACGGAAUAAAUAAUAAUAGAUCCAUUUUUCCACACCAAAAGCCCUUGUCAAGCUCAAGCGCCAGAGGUCAAAAGACUUUCUGGAGUUCAUCUUUUCAUGGGAGUUUCCCCAAUAAUUUCACCUCUUUUCCGUCCAAUGUUUAUGACAAUUUGAAGAAAUUGAUAGGCAAGUGUGUGGAACAGAUUUGAUAAUGGCUCAAGAAAAAAAAAAAAAAAAGAUGAAUGAAGUGAUACACCAAAUCAUCUAGCAGGCUUCAUAGAAUUAAAGUACUUUUAGUUCAAGUAGUGAGCUGAUCUAAUUCCCCUUUCAAAUAAUACACCCCAUUAUAAAUCCAUGCUGCUAUAGAAAAAAAAAAUGCCAAGUGACUUGGGGAUAAGGGUGGGGCAACAAUGUUCACAUAUGGAGUUGGAUCUAUGCUGCUAUAGAAAGAAAUGCAACCCCUACACUUGUCACAAAUGUUCCGUAUUUAUUUUUACUUCCAUUCUUCAUAAUAUCUUUGAUAAAAGACAAUUACAUGAAACAUAUCUUAAAAUUAAACUGAAAACAAUAAUUUCUUUGUAAAUAGUAUAAAAGAAAAGAUCAUAUAAUAAAUAUAGAAAAGAAGUAUAAUCCUUUAUUGAGAAAAAAUAAAUCACAUGUGUGAUAUUCAUUCCAAUGAUCGAAUUAGACAAAACAGACAUGGCCAAGAGCCCAAAGCAAAGACCAACUCAGCCAACAGGUAUUCAUUAUGAUUGUUGCAUGCAACCAAAAACUCAAAUUAGAGAAAACAGAAGUAAAAUGGCAAAAUAUUACAUAACAAAGAAGAGCACCUUUUAUUUACUUCUUACAUGGAAAUCACAAUGCUCAAUAUUAAUCCACAUACUAAUACUGCAACAUUAUCCCUUCAACACUUGGAAAAAAAAAACCAAUAACAACAACAGCAAGGAAUUCAAUUUCUUUAUGCUUUAUCACUCUCCCUUCUCUAUUUUCUCCGCCUCUUGCCUAAAGUGUUGGAAAAAACAAUCAUGUUUUUUGUUGUCAAGGUGUGCCCGAUUACCAUUCCAACUACCAGACCACUUCCAUAACCCAUCAAUGCUAUCAUCAUUUCAACUUUGCGGCCAGUACUCUCCAAGUCCCCACCUUGUUUGUAGGUUGAUGUUGGUGUUGUUGGCUUAGAGUUUCCACACUCCUUUGACAAAGGAUUUCCGCACAAUCCUGGAUUUCCCUCGAAUGAGUCAUUCUGAAAUGUAUCAAAUUAUUUCCCUUGUGGUAUAGGUCCCAUGAGACGAUUGUGAGAAACAUUGAAGAACUCAAGGAAUGUCAUUCCCUUUAGCUGCUCAGGGAUCUAUCCUGAGAGAUUUUUUUGGGAUAGGUCCAGUGGCUCAAGCUAUGCUAAGCUCCCAAGAAAAGAUGGGAUGUGACCAGUAAGACUGUUGGACGAAAUGUUGAGCAAAUGAAGUCCCCCGAGUUUCCCAAUGGAUUUUGGGAUCUCUCCUGUAAAUUUGUUGCUUGAGAGAUCAAUUGCUUUAAAACUGUGAGGGAUCUUCGGGUACACCCUUUCCAUGCCUUUGUUGGUCAUUGUCAUCGAUUAAGUGUAAUUUUUGUAUAGCCCAUAUCCUGGGAGAAGAAAUCCCAUCCUUGUAUUUGCUAAAUGCUCUUCAUCGACCUUGCUCAUGGCAACCCAAGUGAUAAAGUAGCCUGCUGGCAAAUUACCUGCAAAAUUAUUGUGUGAGAGGUCAAUAAUACACAACAUGGGGAACUCAAAGUUGGUUCUAGGACUCUCGAUUGCACUAUGAAAUCUGUUAUUCCGCAAAAUGAGAAGUUGCAACUCUGGAAAAGAUCCCAACCAAAAGGGUAAAGUAUCAUUGAUCUGAUUGUUUCCAAGAUUAAGAAUCUCAAGCUCUUUACAAUUGCCCAAUGAUCUUGGUAUCUGCCCCUCCAACUGAUUGUAACUAAAAUCAAUCAUUUCUCCCAUGAAAGUUGUUGCCUCAUAGAUUCAACACCAAUAGAGAAUUUCUGGAGUUGUUCAAACAUUGAGGAAUCAGGCCACUUAAGUUGUUAUUCGACAAAUCAAGGAUGUAAAGAAGAUGCAAGUUGCAAAACAACGAUGGAAUUUUUCCACUUAGUCUGUUGUUACAAACAAAAUAAUUAGCUAUGGAAGAUGGUGGAACUGGAAGGGAACCUUGCAGCCGAUUAUAAAUAAGAUCUAGAACUUUCAGAGUAACCCAUGGAAGGACAAAAAGCCAGUUAAGAAGUUAUGUGAUAGGUCCAUGACCAGAAGAGUUUCUUUACCUCUGUUUCAUAUACAUUUUGGUAUUUGGCCACGAAUUUUGUUGUCAGAAAGUGUUAAAAACUUCAACUCAUCUUGGUUCCUUAGGAAAUUUGGGAAUUCUAUCAAUUUGCAUGAAUCUAAUCCUAAAUACGUAAACCUUGGAAGAGAACCAUUGAGACGGUAGUGAGAAAUGAUAGAUUGUUAGGGGUUAAGUCGAGAGCUCUGAGAUUUUUGAGCUUAACAAGCAUGUUCAGCUCCACUGCCGCUCAACUUGUUUGAACAUGGAUAAAGAAUAUUAAGGUUUAAUAGUUCAAAUAUUGAGCUUGGUAUUGGACCUUCCAAAUUAUUGCACCCAAGACCUAACUGUUUUAACAGAGUCAGGUUCCCAGGGCAUGAUGGAAUUCUACCAUUUAGUUGAUUAUUCUCCAGAUUUAAAUAAUGCAGUGCAGUAGUGCAGUUAGGUUUGAAAGAAAAGGCAAGAUAUCACCAUUUAAAUUGAUCUUGUCAAGGUCCAAAACAGUGAGUUUGGUCAGCUUGCCAAUCCAAGACGAGGUCCCAACACUGAAAUCAUUCCUAGAAAUAUCCAAGAAAUUGAGAUGGAUAAGGUUGGCCAAUGAAGAAGGGAGCUGGCCCUUAAAAGAGUUAUACGAAAGGUCCAGGAGGACAAGCUGGGUAAGGUUGCCAAGUACAGUUGGAACCAUCCCAUUGAAAUUGCAUGAGCAGAUAUAAUCCUAUUGAGGCUGGUAUCUGACCAGAGAAACUUGUCCCAAAGAGAUCCAAAUAUUUGAGGUGACAAGCAUUGGGAAAUUAGGGCAAAUGACCAGUCAGAUAUCUAUUAAACAUCAAAUUAAGGAGUUCUAAGCUUGGCAGCUUCAAAAUCCCCAUGGGGAAUUCACCGUGCAAUCCACAAUUUUCAAGAGAAAGAGAUAUCAAAGGAGAUAAUUUUGCCAAAAUAACAGGUACAGUAGAAGAUAUGUUCGCCUGACUUGGAUUAAGUUUUUUUAAGUGGGUUAAGUUCUGAACCAAAUUUCUCAAGUCAGGCUUUUGAAGCUGCAAAAUUGGGUUGCUCGAGAGAUCAAGGGAAACCAAUUUGGACAGUGCUAAGAUUUUCGAUGGGAUUUGGCCAGAGAAAUGAGAAUUGGAGAGGAUGAGACUUCUAAGCCUUGAAAGCUGACUGACUCCAUGCGGGAUCUCAGAGUAAAUGAAAUCACUAUCAGAGAGCUCAAGGCUCCGGCAAUGCACAAGACUGAAGCGGGUGCUGCUGGAGUUGAUAGAGCCACAGAGACAACUGCUGGCAAGGUGAAGGCCGAUCACAUGACCACUCUCCCUAUCACACUCCACACAAUCCCAUGAGCAGCAAUCACGUCUCUCUCCAUGGGAUUUCCAUAUUGCAACUUUUGGAUAAGCAUAAGAAUCUUCAGAAGCAUAUUCAUCAAUCAAAAAAGCUCUGCUUGAACUGAAGCAAGACAAAUCACUGAUUAUCAUGGCACAGUGGCUUCUGCAUAGAUGAGGAAGAGUUAAUAACAAUUAGAUGAAAUGAUGAGAGUAAAACGAGAAAGCGCAUCAAGAUGAAGAGACACAAAAUUGACCCCAUAAUUCUAAUUCACUCUCUUUACCACUACUCUUGAAUAUACUAGGAAUCAGGUAAUGAGCAAUGCUCUCCGGAAAUGACUAAGGCCUUGUUAUGCCAUAAUAGACCCGUCCUUCAAGUCUUUAUUGAAGUUGGAAGGAAAAUUUCAAAGUCUAAAACAAGCUUUCCAUUUGCGCGUCUCAAAGUCUUUCGUGGAGAUGCGAAUAUGUCUAUUUGCAAUUGAUUUCCACCCAGAUUUAUUGGAUUGAAACACUUCAGAAAGAAAAAAAAAAGUUAGAAACAACAAUAGCACAAUAAUCUAUUGGAUUUUUGUGUUCUCUCAUAAUCUCCUUUCUCUAUUUUCUCUGCUUCUUGGCUUGUCUUGUCUUGUAUUUGGUACAUGCAUUAUCAAGUUUUCCUUUUUUCUUCAAUUCUAAAGAACAUAAAAUUGUUUUCAAUAUCAGUACAUCCCUAACACAUGCACCUAUUCUUAUUUUUGAACACUUCAUUUCAGAAUUUUGUAAUUUUCGAAAUAAAUUUACAGUGAUUUAAGUGACCAAUUAAUCAUAAGAGAGAUAUCUCCCACUUUGUCAAAGGUAAACAAAUUUUAGGAUCUUUAAUAAAUUUGUGUGUUUUCAUCACUUUAUAGGAUAAAGUUAUUAUAUACACUCACAAAGAAUUGUGAUACUUGCAUAACACAAAAUCUCAUGAUUAUGUCUAGAGGUAAUUUUUCUAGGCUUCCAUUAUUUUAGAAAAAUUUAAGCUAUGUUUGGUUUUGAAAAAAUUAAGAGAAAAUGUAAAGGAAAGAAAAUAAUAAGGAAAAAUAAAAAAUAAAUAUAAAAUUAAUAAAUUAUUCUGAUAUACUUCUUCAAACUCGUUUCAUUUAUGUUUACUUUUUUAUGUAACAAUUAAAUAAUUUUAAAAUAUAUAAUAAGGGAUCUAUGCUACUAUAGAAAGAAAUGCAGUGUAACCCCUGCACUUGUCCCAUGCCUUCUUUACUAAUUUUGCCUUCAUUCCUUAUAAUAUCUUUGAUCGAAUGCACUUGCAUGAAACCAUCUUAUGACAGGAUUAAAGACAAUGCCUGCUUUGUAGAGAGUAUGAAAUAAAGAAAAGAUUUGAGAAAGAGAAGAAAUAAAAAUAAAAGAGAAUGGGAAAAAAAAAAAUUGUAUGGAAUUCCAUGGACAAAUAGAAGGUUCAUCAUUUAAUGAACUUAAAAAUAUUCCAUAUUGUAUGUCAUAGAAUUGAUUUGUUAUUUGCCCUUGAUUUUUCAGUUUUGUAGUUAGGUGCUUAGAGAAUAAAGUUUUUGCCAUUAUUUCAAAUCAAAGACUUGCAAUACCGUAGAAAACAAAAGUUCAAAACACCACGACAAAGUAAGAAAAGAAAAAGGAAAGAAGAAAUAUGAAACCCAACAACGGAAGCAAUAUACAUGGAUCAAGAGACCUUUCAAGGAAAUCGUGGUUUGAUAAAUUCAGCCUCUAUGCCCCCUUCUUGCCUUCCUCCUCCAUUUUGGUUGCCUCCUUCCAAAAGUUUUCACAAACCAUUCAUGUUUCCAUGCGGUCAAGCAAUACCCAGUAGAAAUUCCAAUCACUAGUCCGCUUCCAUAUCCCAUUAAUACAAUUUUCCAAUCAAAUCCACUUGAUGAACCUUGUUUAGGGGUUGAUGGAGCUGGUGGUGACGCCUCAGAAUUUCCACAUGCCCUUCACAAAGGACUUCCACACAAUCCCGGGUUCCCAUCAAAGGAAGUAUCUGGAAAUGUUGCAAAUUGUUUUCCUUGUGGUAUAGGCCCUGUGAGAUGAUUAUGAGACACAUUGAAGUAUGCAAGGAAAGUGAGCUGCACUAGCUGCUGAGGUAUCUCUCUUGAUAGCUUGUUCUGAGAAAGGUCCAAGGCCUCCAGCAGGGUCAAGUUUGCUAAGGAUGUGGGGAUAGGGCCUGUAAGAGCAUUAUUGGAAAGAUUAAGUGCUUGAAUUCCCUUGCGAUCCCCAAUGGAUUCCGGAAUCUCUCCAUAGAAUUUGUUGCUUGAAAGAUCAAUGACUGUUAAGAUGUCGGGGGUCUUCUCAUAUUCCCUUCUCAAGCCUUUGUUCACUAUUGUCAUUGAGACAGUGUAAGCACUUUUCCAUGAAUAUUGUGGGCCUUCAAAUUCUACAUCUGCUUGGAUGUAUUUCAAAUGAUCUGCAUCCACAAUUCUCAUGGCAUCCCAAUUUCGGAAGUAUUCUGAAGGCAAAUUACCUGUAAAAUGAUUGUGAGAGAGGUCAAUGAUGUGCAGCUUGGAAAACUCAAAUUUGGUUUCGGGCCUCCCUAUUGCCCCAUGAAAUAGGUUGGAUCGCAGAAUGAGAACCUGCAACCUCGGGAGAGAUCCCAACCAGGAAGGGAAAUUAUCAUUGAUCAUAUUGUUUCCAAGAACAAGCUCCUCAACCAUGAUGCAAUUGGCUAGUGAUCUAAAUAUUUGCCCUUGUAAUUGAUUCCCACUUAAGUCAAUCAUCCGCAAACUGCUUGUGUUGGUGCAUAUUUGAGGAAUGGCACCAUGCAAGUUGUUGCCUCUGAGAUUGAGUACAAACAGUGAAGAGCUAAGGUUGGUCAAGCAUUGAGGAAUCCCGCCACUGAAGUUGUUAUCAGACAAAUCAAGUGACCUAAGAGAAGUCAGGUUGCAGAUCAAUGGUGGAAUUUCUCCUGUAAGUUUAUUUCCAGAGACUGAAUAGAUAUAGGUUGACGGUGGGGGAACUGGGAGUGAUCCUUGCAGCAUGUUAGAUGCAAGGUCUAAAAUGCGCAUCUUCGACCACCUGAGAACAGCUGGGAGUAGGUCAAAGCCUGUAAGAAGGUUUUGACGAAGGGCCAGAAUCUCUAGGGUUUCUUUGCUCAUGUUCCAUAGCCACUUUGGAAUUGGACCAUGAAUUUUGUUAUCACAAGGAAGAGCAACUCCAAUUCAUCUUGGUUCUGCAGGAAAUCAGGAAUUUGGGUUAAGUUGCAUGAAUUCAGUCCUAAAAGCCUAAAUUUAGGGAAGGUUGCAUUGGUACUGGCGUGACUGAGCAAUGAUAACCUAUUGUAGGAUAAUUGGAACUUGGUGAGAUCUUUGAGCUUAGAUAACAUGUGGAGUUCAACUGUUCCAGUCAAGUAAUUGGAAUGUAGAUAAAGAGAUUGAAGAUUUACUAGUUCAAAUAAUGAACUUGGGAUAGGACCUUCUAAUUUGUUUUCCUCAAGAUAUAAUUCAGUCAGUCGGGUGAGGUUCAUGAGCCAAGACGGGAUCUGACCAAUCAAUUGAUUCCUUGAAAGACUCAAAAUAGUUAGUUCACUCAUGUUUACAAGAGAGGAUGGGAUUUCUCCAGUUAAAUUCAACUGGUCGAGAUACAAAUAAGUGAGUUUUGUAUGCUUACCAAGCCAAGCAAGGGUUCCGACAUUGAAAUCAUUCGAUGAAAGGUCUAAGUGAGUUGGGUAAGAUUUGCCAUGAAAGAAGGAAUUUGACCACUAAAAGAGUUAUUUGACAGGUCUAAAUAAGAUAACUGGGAAAGGUGAGCAAGUGGAGAUGGGAACAAUCCUGUGAAAUUGCACUAGCUGAUGUCCAAUUCAGUCAAAGAACCAAGGCUCCCAAUAGAAGCUGGUAACUCACCAUAAAAACUUGUACCAGCAAGAAACAACAUUUUUAAGGGACUGGUUUCCUGAAAUUCAGGUAAAUAACCAAUCAGAUCUGGAUUGUACCUCACACUAAGAUACUGUAGGCUUGGUAACUGAAAAUUUUUCAUUGGGAAUUCACCGUGCAAUCCACAAUUUCUGAGAAAGAGAGAUGUCAGUGAAGAUAAACUUGCCAACUCACGAGGUAUUGUUGAAAAAAUGUUCACCUGACUGAGAUGAAGCUUCUUUAAGUGGGUUAAGUUCUGAACCAGAUUUCUCAAGCCAGGCUUUCGGAGCUGCAACAUUGGGUUUGCCGAAAGAUCAAGGAAAACCAAUUUGGACAGUGCUAAGAGUUCCGAUGGGAUUUGGCCAGACAAUCUAGAAUAAGAGAGUUCGAGACUCCUAAGCCUUGAAAGCUGACCAACACCAAAUGGGAUCACAGAGUAAUUGAAAUGAUUAUCAGAGAGGUCAAGCCUCCGGAGAUGAACAAGACUGAAGAGGGUGCUGCUGGAGUUGAUAGAACCAUAGAGACAACUACUGGCAAGGUGAAGGCCGAUUACAUGACCAGUCUCCCUGUCACACUCAACACCAUCCCACGAGCAACAAUCACUUUCUUCUCCUUCUCCUUCUCCAUGGGAUUUCCACGUUGCAACUUCUGGAUAAGCAGAAGGAUCAUCAGAGGCAUACUCAUCAA